CCCCUCUCAGGGUCGCACCUGGAGAGUUUCCAGUACUCUACCAGUCUCAACUACAGGAGGGAGAGUCGAGCAGAGGCCUACCCAUUCCAUUCCUAGCUUGGGCAGUAUCUAGCGACAGGACGGCAAUCUACUACAAGU